GGGAAUGUAGUUCAAUAGGUUAGUAAACAUUAAACGAGAGUUUAAGAUAUUGGUUCGAGUCCAAUCAUUCCCC
rnacentral:tRNA from 1 species